AAACGUUUCUGUUUUUCAGUGUGCUAGUUGAAACCUUCCCGCUAUGCCAGCACAUAAGACCUGCGCAUAAAUCUCAUCACUUGCAAUUUUUCCAGUGAUCACAUCCCCGCACCUUUCUCUUUGUUCUUUGUCUUAACCAUUACACAAACACCUCCAAAUUCCACCUCCAAAUCACUCCACCUCUUCUUCUUCCUAUUAAAAUAUGUCUUUUUUCCCAACCCAAAAAUCCUGUCUUUAAUUCCUAAAUCUUCAUCACUACUUUACAUUCACAUCAAAGACAUCAUAUCCAAUCUGCUGCACAUAUCAUGUUUGAUUUAAUGUAACAUUCUCUUUUUUAAUAAGAUUCUUUAUUUAUAUACAAAAACAGAAAAUAAAAGGCUCUUUAAUUUCUGGUUUUCAAGAAACACCUCUCUCUUUGUUCUUUGUCUUCACCACUACGCAAACACCUCCAAAUCACUCCACCUCUUCUUCUUCCUAUUAUAAGAUCUCUUUUUUCCCAACCCAAAAAUCCUUUCUUUAUUUCCUAAAUCUUCAUCACGACUUUACAUUCACAUCUGAUCUCUCAUAUUCAUAUUAAAGAUUCAAAACGUUAUACAAUCUGAUACACAUAUCAUGUUUGAUUUAAUGUAACAUUCUCUUUUUAUUAAGAUUCUUUAUUUAUAUACAAAAACAGAAAAGAAAAGGGUCUUUAAUUACUGGUUUUCAAGAAUGUCACAGGUGAAACCUCUAAAGAAACCACCUGGUUUCAGAGAUCCUAC
rnacentral:lncRNA from 1 species